GAGGGUGGUAUGGAGGAUUAAAUGAUACGACAGCAUAUAAAGUAAGCACUCGAUGAAUGCCUGCUGCUGUUUCCAAUGUAUCAUCCAAAUGUAAAAGGAACCUUGGCUGCCCACCCCCCAUUCCUCCCGAUGUCCCCCCACUGCUGCUGGGGGUUGGCCGGCUACCCCACCCACUGUCUCUGCUCUCUAAGAAUAGGUUCCCCUCACAGAUGGCAUCUCUCUGGAUCCUGCCAAGGCAUCUGGUGUCUCCAACUGCUCACUCCAGGGAGGGAGGCGGUGUGGUCCUCAUGCAGGACUAGAGCCCCGGCUCCUGGGAGGAGUUCCCACUCA
ensembl:lncRNA